UCAGAUAAUGUUUGACCCGUUGCA
rnacentral:miRNA from 1 species